GUAGGGGAGCGUUCUGUAAGCCUGUGAAGGUGUGCUGUGAGGUAUGCUGGAGGUAUCAGAAGUGCGAAUGCUGACAUAAGUAACGAUAAAGCGGGUGAAAAGCCCGCUCGCCGGAAGACCAAGGGUUCCUGUCCAACGUUAAUCGGGGCAGGGUGAGUCGACCCCUAAGGCGAGGCCGAAAGGCGUAGUCGAUGGGAAACAGGUUAAUAUUCCUGUACUUGGUGUUACUGCGAAGGGGGGACGGAGAAGGCUAUGUUGGCCGGGCGACGGUUGUCCCGGUUUAAGCGUGUAGGCUGGUUUUCCAGGCAAAUCCGGAAAAUCAAGGCCGAGGCGUGAUGACGAGGCACUACGGUGCUGAAGCAACAAAUGCCCUGCUUCCAGGAAAAGCCUCUAAGCAUCAGGUAACAUCAAAUCGUACCCCAAACCGACACAGGUGGUCAGGUAGAGAAUACCAAGGCGCUUGAGAGAACUCGGGUGAAGGAACUAGGCAAAAUGGUGCCGUAACUUCGGGAGAAGGCACGCUGAUACGUAGGUGAAGCGACUUGCUCGUGGAGCUGAAAUCAGUCGAAGAUACCAGCUGGCUGCAACUGUUUAUUAAAAACACAGCACUGUGCAAACACGAAAGUGGACGUAUACGGUGUGACGCCUGCCCGGUGCCGGAAGGUUAAUUGAUGGGGUUAGCGCAAGCGAAGCUCUUGAUCGAAGCCCCGGUAAACGGCGGCCGUAACUAUAACGGUCCUAAGGUAGCGAAAUUCCUUGUCGGGUAAGUUCCGACCUGCACGAAUGGCGUAAUGAUGGCCAGGCUGUCUCCACCCGAGACUCAGUGAAAUUGAACUCGCUGUGAAGAUGCAGUGUACCCGCGGCAAGACGGAAAGACCCCGUGAACCUUUACUAUAGCUUGACACUGAACAUUGAGCCUUGAUGUGUAGGAUAGGUGGGAGGCUUUGAAGUGUGGACGCCAGUCUGCAUGGAGCCGACCUUGAAAUACCACCCUUUAAUGUUUGAUGUUCUAACGUGGACCCGUGAUCCGGGUUGCGGACAGUGUCUGGUGGGUAGUUUGACUGGGGCGGUCUCCUCCUAAAGAGUAACGGAGGAGCACGAAGGUUGGCUAAUCCUGGUCGGACAUCAGGAGGUUAGUGCAAUGGCAUAAGCCAGCUUGACUGCGAGCGUGACGGCGCGAGCAGGUGCGAAAGCAGGUCAUAGUGAUCCGGUGGUUCUGAAUGGAAGGGCCAUCGCUCAACGGAUAAAAGGUACUCCGGGGAUAACAGGCUGAUACCGCCCAAGAGUUCAUAUCGACGGCGGUGUUUGGCACCUCGAUGUCGGCUCAUCACAUCCUGGGGCUGAAGUAGGUCCCAAGGGUAUGGCUGUUCGCCAUUUAAAGUGGUACGCGAGCUGGGUUUAGAACGUCGUGAGACAGUUCGGUCCCUAUCUGCCGUGGGCGCUGGAGAACUGAGGGGGGCUGCUCCUAGUACGAGAGGACCGGAGUGGACGCAUCACUGGUGUUCGGGUUGUCAUGCCAAUGGCACUGCCCGGUAGCUAAAUGCGGAAGAGAUAAGUGCUGAAAGCAUCUAAGCACGAAACUUGCCCCGAGAUGAGUUCUCCCUGACCCUUUAAGGGUCCUGAAGGAACGUUGAAGACGACGACGUUGAUAGGCCGGGUGUGUAAGCGCAGCGAUGCGUUGAGCUAACCGGUACUAAUGAACCGUGAGGCUUAACCUUACAACGCCGAAG
rnacentral:rRNA from 1 species